rnacentral:rRNA from 1 species
CCUACGGGAGGCUGCAGUGGGGGAUAUUGCACAAUGGGGGGAACCCUGAUGCAGCGACGCCGCGUGGGUGAAGGAGUGCUUCGGCAUGUAAAGCCCUAUCGGCAGGGAAGAAGCAAGACGGUACCUGACUCAUACGCACCGGCUAACUACGUGCCAGCAGCCGCGGUAAUCCGGAGGGGGCGAGCGUUAUCCGGAUUCACUGGGUGUAAAGGGAGCGUAGACGGCCAUGCAAGCCAGGGGUGAAAGCCCGGGGCCCAACCCCGGGACUGCCCUUGGAACUGGAUGGCUGGAGUGCGGGGGGGGCAGGCGGAAUUCCGGGUGUAGCGGUGAAAUGCGUAGAUAUCAGGAGGAACACCGGCGGCGAAGGCGGCCUGAUGGAUCGCGACUGACGUUGAGGCUCGAAAGCGUGGGGAGCGAACAGGAUUAGAGACCCCGGUAGUC